AAUCAGUGAACGAUUCAGAAGGAAAAUGCUCAGAUUCAGGUGAAGAAAAUCAUACCAAAUACUUGCCAGACCACAAAAACUUCAGCUGCCCAGGCUUAAGGCUGAUUUCAGUCACUUAAGAAUUUGGGGGAUGAAAACACUGUUUGUAAUGAACUAGUAGAAAAUCUGCAAAUGUCACCAGGAAAAGGAUCAUAUAUAUCAACCUUUCAGUUGAAAAAACAUUUACCGCAGCAUUCAUCAGCUUCUUUGGUGAACAGUUAUGUUAUUUGGCAUCAGGCUAAAGUGCUCGCAAUUGCAUAGAGCAAAGAGCAUGCAGAGUGUUGUGGUUCCAGUUUUAAAGGACAGAGCUGCAAACAAAAGGUUGAACUCUGCAAUGCUGUACUGCAGGUUCCAGCUGCCCUUCCCCUGAAGAUAGUCCAGGUUCUGAUGUGUGGUGAUGAUUCCUCCAACUUACCAAGUAAGGUGGUCUGGUGUGCCUUUAUUUCAGAGAUUCUCUUCACUUUUCCAGUGGGUUUCAAUUUGCAUCAAGGAGCCUGAGAGGCACUCUAUCUGUUGUUCACUUCUGCAGCUCAGGAUAAUGGCCUUUAUGCCUCCCUGUACCACUGUAGUGUGGAACCAGGUAGUGGCACAGCCAGGAGCCCCG
ensembl:lncRNA